AUUGAACGCUGGCGGCAGGCUUAACACAUGCAAGUCGAGCGGGGACUUCGGUCCUAGCGGCGAACGGGUGAGGAAUGCUUGGGAAUCUGCCCAGUAGCGGGGGAUAACGUUUCGAAAGGAACGCUAAUACCGCAUACGCCCUACGGGGGAAAGGGGGGAUCUUCGGACCUCUCACUAUUGGAUGAGCCCAAGUCGGAUUAGCUAGUUGGUGGGGUAAAGGCCUACCAAGGCGACGAUCCGUAGCUGGUCUGAGAGGAUGAUCAGCCACACUGGAACUGAGACACGGUCCAGACUCCUACGGGAGGCAGCAGUGGGGAAUAUUGGACAAUGGGCGAAAGCCUGAUCCAGCCAUGCCGCGUGUGUGAAGAAGGCCUUCGGGUUGUAAAGCACUUUAAGCGAGGAGGAAUGGCUCUUGGUUAAUAACCUUGAGCAGUGACGUUACUCGCAGAAUAAGCACCGGCUAACUCUGUGCCAGCCGCCGCAGUAAGAC
rnacentral:rRNA from 1 species